UCUAAUGUGGCAGAUUAGUGCAAUGAAUUUAAGCUUCAUAUAUAAAGUAAAUUCACUUUUAUUAGAA
rnacentral:tRNA from 1 species